rnacentral:rRNA from 1 species
UACGUAGGGUCCAAGCGUUAAUCGGAAUUACUGGGCGUAAAGCGUGCGCAGGCGGCUGUGUAAGUCAGAUGUGAAAUCCCCGGGCUCAACCUGGGAAUGGCGGUGGAUACUGGGCAGCUAGAGUGUGGCAGAGGAUGGUGGAAUUCCCGGUGUAGCGGUGAAAUGCGUAGAGAUCGGGAGGAACAUCAGUGGCGAAGGCGGCCAUCUGGGACAACACUGACGCUGAAGCACGAAAGCGUGGGGAGCAAACAGG